UCAAUCCACUACAUUUCCUGGAUCUCCGAUGAGUUCCUCAGGCUCCUCCUUCUUCCUCUGCGCUGGUUUCUAAUUAAUCUUCCACAGUUGUAGCUGCCCUGACAGCGGGUCGUUUACAUUCCUCUAAGGCAGCGGCAGUAGCUGUGCGUUUGAAACUGGGUCGCUAGAGAAGAUACUAUGGAGACGUGUUUUCUUCUCAGCAUUUGGAUAUUCAGUCUCCUAGGCUCUGCGUUGGGAGACUCGGUCAAAUCCAAGGAACUCGAAGUAUCGGGAUCAGUUGGAGAUUCUGUAACACUCAGCUGUUCUUACACCACCAGCGAUACCUAUGUCUACCUCUGUUGGUACCGUCAGUAUCCGAACCAAGCACCGCAGUACAUUCUCUAUAGAGGAGCGAAAUCCUACAGCGGCCGCAGCCACACUGCACGUUUUGCACAGCAGAGGUUUUCUUCCCAGACUGCAGACAGCUCCACAGUUCUGAAUAUCGCAGCCCUGGAACUGGCGGACAGUGCGGUGUAUCACUGCGCCCUUGUGGAGAGCACAGUGACAGAGCCACAUAGCAGAACCACAAGAGCUCUCUCCUCCCAGGUGGAGGACAGGAGCUGCCGCCUGCGUGACUGUCCUAGGCGGGCUGGAGAGAAAAGCGGCAGUGCUCUGCAGAAAAGACAAGCUGCUGAAGUGAUGGCCACAGUCCGAGAUGCUGGGUGA